rnacentral:rRNA from 1 species
UACAGAGGGGGCAAGCGUUGUUCGGAAUUACUGGGCGUAAAGGGCGCGUAGGCGGCCCGCUAAGUCGAACGUGAAAUCCCCGGGCUCAACCCGGGAACUGCGUCCGAUACUGGUGGGCUCGAAUCCGGGAGAGGGAUGUGGAAUUCCAGGUGUAGCGGUGAAAUGCGUAGAGAUGUGGAGGAACACCAGUGGCGAAGGCGACUCUUUGGCCUGUAACUGACACUGAGGCGCGAAAGCGUGGGGAGCAAACAGG